rnacentral:rRNA from 1 species
AUUGAACGCUGGCGGCAGGCCUAACACAUGCAAGUCGAACGGUAGCACAGAGAGCUUGCUCUCGGGUGACGAGUGGCGGACGGGUGAGUAAUGUCUGGGAAACUGCCCGAUGGAGGGGGAUAACUACUGGAAACGGUAGCUAAUACCGCAUAACGUCGCAAGACCAAAGUGGGGGACCUUCGGGCCUCACACCAUCGGAUGUGCCCAGAUGGGAUUAGCUAGUAGGUGGGGUAAUGGCUCACCUAGGCGACGAUCCCUAGCUGGUCUGAGAGGAUGACCAGCCACACUGGAACUGAGACACGGUCCAGACUCCUACGGGAGGCAGCAGUGGGGAAUAUUGCACAAUGGGCGAAAGCCUGAUGCAGCCAUGCCGCGUGUAUGAAGAAGGCCUUCGGGUUGUAAAGUACUUUCAGCGGGGAGGAAGGCGGUGAAGUUAAUAACUUCACCCAUUGACGUUACCCGCAGAAGAAGCACCGGCUAACUCCGUGCCAGCCGCCGCCGUAA